CCUACGGGAGGCAGCAGUGGGGAAUAUUGGGCCAUGGGCGCAAGCCUGACCCAGCAACGCCGCGUGAAGGAAGAAGGCUUUCGGGUUGUAAACUUCUUUUGUCAGGGACGAAGCAAGUGACGGUACCUGACGAAUAAGCCACGGCUAACUACGUGCCAGCAGCCGCGGUAAUACGUAGGUGGCAAGCGUUAUCCGGAUUUAUUGGGUGUAAAGGGCGUGGCGGCGGGAAUGCAAGUCAGAUGUGAAAACUAUGGGCUUAACCCAUAGCCUGCAUUUGAAACUGUAUUUCUUGAGUGCUGGAGAGGCAAUCGGAAUUCCGUGUGUAGCGGUGAAAUGCGUAGAUAUACGGAGGAACACCAGUGGCGAAGGCGGAUUGCUGGACAGUAACUGACGCUGAGGCGCGAAAGCGUGGGGAGCAAACAGGAUUAGAUACCCGUGUAGUC
rnacentral:rRNA from 1 species